UCUUGUAACACGGACCAAGGAGUCGUCUUCGUAUGCGAGUGUUCGGGUGUCAAACCCCUACGCGUAAUGAAAGUGAACGCAGGUGAGAGCUUCGGCGCAUCAUCGACCGAUCCUGAUGUUCUCGGAUGGAUUUGAGUAAGAGCAUACGGGGCCGGACCCGAAAGAAGGUGAACUAUGCCUGUAUAGGGUGAAGCCAGAGGAAACUC
rnacentral:rRNA from 13 species